rnacentral:rRNA from 1 species
GACGAACGCUGGCGGCGUGCUUAACACAUGCAAGUCGAACGGAAAGGCCCUGCUUUUGUGGGGUGCUCGAGUGGCGAACGGGUGAGUAACACGUGAGUAACCUGCCCUUGACUUUGGGAUAACUUCAGGAAACUGGGGCUAAUACCGGAUAGGAGCUCCUGCUGCAUGGUGGGGGUUGGAAAGUUUCGGCGGUUGGGGAUGGACUCGCGGCUUAUCAGCUUGUUGGUGGGGUAGUGGCUUACCAAGGCUUUGACGGGUAGCCGGCCUGAGAGGGUGAACGGCGACAUUGGGACUGAGAUACGGCCCAGACGCCUACGGGAGGCAGCAGUGGGGAAUAUUGCACAAUGGGCGGAAGCCUGAUGCAGCAACGCCGCGUGCGGGAUGACGGCCUUCGGGUUGUAAACCGCUUUCGCCUGUGACGAAGCGUGAGUGACGGUAAUGGGUAAAGAAGCACCGGCUAACUACGUG